rnacentral:lncRNA from 1 species
AAUUUUAUAAAGUAAGCAACCUUUAUACUUAUUGGGUGUGUUAAAAUUUUUUUGUUAUGGCUCAAGAAAAUUGAGGGAAUAGAUAAUAGAAAUUUUCACACUCGGACUUAACUUAAAAUAAUUUUUUUUUUUUUUUUUUUAUAGUAAGAAAGGGAAAUAACAAUGAAAGGGAAGGUAACAUACUUGAAAAAUGGAAAUAGGAAGAAUAUUGUUUCCCCCCCCUACUUAAACUAAACAUUGUCCUCAAUGUUUUAAGGGAAUGAAAUACAUAAUGGAAAUGCAAAGAAAAUAACAACUAAGGCUGCCUUCCGCCUCUGGUUCUUGGACCUGGUGAUCUUUGACGUAUGUCUAAGUUGUCGAACCUGCUAAACAACUCAGUAAACCGCUGGUCGGUUAUGGCAUUCCGAGCAUCCUGUUGCUGUUGCAUUUGACGCAUCAUCUGCAUCAUCUCUGCAUUCUGUGCCUGCAUACCAUCGAUAGCAUCCAUAAUGUCGUCGUUGGUUGCAGGCCUUCUUCGUCGACGACGUUGGGAGGAUGGGCCAGUUGCAUUACCGGAAGGGUUGAGCGGGACUGAAUGUUGUGUAGGAGGAUGAUCACCUUGUUCCAUUUCUUCAAACUCAUCUGUUUGUGGGUUUGUUUGUAAAGGCUCGGUGGUUUCAGGAGCGUUUAGAUCAUAG